CGUUGAUCUGUGAGGUUCGAGAUAAGCCCCUAGAGAUAAGCGCUCAGGUCUGUCCUGUGUUGUCUGUUUCUGCUUGCUGGUUCUCCAGAUGGAGCAGAGGUGGGGGCUCGUCUCCUAGUUCCAUCGCUAGAUGCCACAAUCUCCCUUUACAGCUCUGGUUUCAUUUCGCAGCUUCUGCUCCUGCCUCAGGCUGAUUCGAGAUACACGAGUCUGCGCUUUUCUCCAGAUGGUUAUUCUGACGGCUCUUCCCUCCCAGUGAUAUUUAGGACUGGAGCCUAUUUCUAUUCAUGGACUCAGCUCUGUUCCGCACUGUUUUCGUUCCUAUACUUUCAUAGUAGGUUUAAUACAUUCAAGGAUCUGCACCACACCAUGUGACAUUCUAUCAGAACUUUUCCGAUGAUGCUGGUUUAUUUUCCUGUACAAGCUUCCAAGCACCCCUCCCUGCUCAAAACCAGUGUUCGUGUUAGCAUUUGGCGUGGGGUGGGGGUGUGUGUGGCUUCUCUAUGAUGUCAGAUUUGCGCUUUUUGGUUUCAUCGCACCAUUGUGGGGGCAAGAGAAUCAGAACAAGGGCGGAGACCAGACGGAGGUGAAGGCAGGCAGCAUCUUGGGAGGACUCUGGCUAUUUCCUCAGAGCUAAGGAGGACAGGGAGUGAGGGGACUGGUCAUGGCACUGGCUACUGCCAGUGGUUUGGCAUGAUUUCUCUCCACGGCAAUGGGCCAGUGUUCCGGACGGGUGGUUUGGGGAGGGAAGGGGGGGGCUGAUUCCAGAUAGUUCCACAGAUGCUGGGAACGUCAAGCAGACCAGGAGAUAGAGAAUGGCGAGUAGAGGAGCACCGAGAGCUAGGGGAGCACCCUGGAAGUCAGGUGAAUUAAAUGAAGGGACUGCAGGAGCGGGAGGCCACGGGGAAGUGGUGGGGGCCGCAGGGCAGAGCUGGGUGACAGCCCUUGAUGGCUGUGGAGACCAGCAGCCCCUGAGGCGACAGUGUGGACUUCAGACCAAGGAGCUGGUCUGCAGGAUCCUGGUUCUAGGUCCGGGAGAUGUCUCCUGUGGCUGGGUGUGGUCAAGUCUGAGACAGCCUGUGCUCGAAAGGAACGUCUGUUCGCCCUGCUUCUGAGCUGCUCGAUGACGAGUGAGGACUACCUCCCGUGGUCCUGUCACGCAGAGAUUUAGGACUGUAUCCCGUGGAAUGUUCCAGAUCAAGGAUUGCAUCUGAAUUUCUUGUCCUGUCCUUUUACUUGCAAUGUUCACAUACCCUGGACUUGAAGUCUUUUAACCAGUGGAGAGGUGAAUU